rnacentral:rRNA from 1 species
CCUACGGGUGGCAGCAGUGGGGAAUAUUGGACAAUGGGGGCAACCCUGAUCCAGCCAUGCCGCGUGUGUGAAGAAGGCCCUCGGGUUGUAAAGCACUUUCAGUGAGGAAGAACGCCUGGUGGUUAAUACCCAUCAGGAAAGACAUCACUCACAGAAGAAGCACCGGCUAACUCCGUGCCAGCAGCCGCGGUAAUACGGAGGGUGCGAGCGUUAAUCGGAAUUACUGGGCGUAAAGCGCGCGUAGGUGGCUUGACAAGCCGGUUGUGAAAGCCCCGGGCUCAACCUGGGAACGGCAUCCGGAACUGUCAAGCUAGAGUGCAGGAGAGGAAGGUAGAAUUCCCGGUGUAGCGGUGAAAUGCGUAGAGAUCGGGAGGAAUACCAGUGGCGAAGGCGGCCUUCUGGACUGACACUGACACUGAGGUGCGAAAGCGUGGGUAGCAAACAGGAUUAGAUACCCCUGUAGUC